UAUAGAAAGCGAGAAAUUUGCAUUUGGUUUCGGCCCAAAUUUUUUAGGUGUAAGUCCUUUUUUAUAUUA
rnacentral:tRNA from 1 species